rnacentral:rRNA from 1 species
GACGAACGCUGGCGGCGUGCUUAACACAUGCAAGUCGAGCGGUAAGGCCCUUUCGGGGGUACACGAGCGGCGAACGGGUGAGUAACACGUGGGUGACCUGCCCUUAGCUCUGGGAUAAGCCUGGGAAACUGGGUCUAAUACCGGAUAUGACUCCAUAACGCAUGUUGUGGGGUGGAAAGCCUUGUGCGGCUAGGGAUGGGCCCGCGGCCUAUCAGCUUGUUGGUGGGGUGAUGGCCUACCAAGGCGACGACGGGUAGCCGGCCUGAGAGGGCGACCGGCCACACUGGGACUGAGACACGGCCCAGACUCCUACGGGAGGCAGCAGUGGGGAAUCUUGCGCAAUGGGCGAAAGCCUGACGCAGCGACGCCGCGUGGGGAUGACG